CCCGCCCUCACCUUGCGGGCUCGCGCUUCCCUCCUGGGCUCCGCCGCGGCGGGCUCGGAGAGCGCAGGCGUACUGUUGCCAAACGCUGUGUUCGACUGUCUUCCCGCGUGGGGCCUCGCCUUCUGAAUCUUCUUACCCUCGGCUUCCUACCCGGUUGCUCACUGUUUUCCCCCAACUGGGUGUGCGGGUGUCUGCGCCCGCGCCGCCCACCGUGGGGUACUCCUGGCAUUUCGCUUCCAGAGUGCUGGCGCCCACAAGAGCCGGACGUUAAUUCAGGCCUUUAACUUUCACUCUGUACCUCCCCACAACCAGACGAGGGAGAUGCAUCUGGGGGUGGAAGAUUGUACCCUGCGAGAGGGCUGUCACUCUUCUCGUGGUUGCACCCCAGGCAGGUGGAGCCAGCUCUCAGCAAAUUGUCGGCCCCCAGUGCUUGGUCCCGGUGCACACAAAGGAAACUCAGGCUAGUUGGAAACUCCAAAUCUGCCUUGCUGUCCUGGACCCCCAUGCAAAGCAGUGGUGAUUCCAGGAUUCUAACCUAACCGGCUCCAGGUCACACAGCUGUAACAGGCACCGUGUCCGAUUUGUUCUUGAUGGUUUGUUUGCACAGCUCCUGGCUCUCCUGACAUGCUGCACUUCGUAAAUAUUCAGGGCCUCCCGUAUAGUUUGCUUAAUAUAUGUCUUCCCUAGGCGACUGUGAGCUCCACGAGGGCAAGGACCUUGUGUUUUGUUUCACACUGUGCCCGCAAGUGCCUGUUGAAUACACAUGGGCUCUUCGGUUUUUAACUAUUACUGAAAAAUGUCUGACAUUGAAAUCCAUCCCAAGCCCCUACCUUAGGCUCAUAUUUCAGGCUUCUAGAUAUUUUCACUUGAAUUUUCUUGUCACCAAGCAUGUUAAAAACUGAAGUCACACCCAUCCCCUACCCCCCACUCUUGUACUGUCUCUGUAAUUGGCAGUGUCACCACCUAUUCAUUCCCCAAAUUACACCUCUGAGAACCAUCCUUGUCUCUUCCUCUUACCCCGACUCCAAAUAUAAAUAACUUACCAAGCCUCGCAGAUUUUUACUUCCCAAGUAAUUCUGGAGACAGUCUUCCUCUGCCUCCUCACUAAUGCUAGCCUUGCUUCCCAGGUCUGGAUUUCUGUAGCUGGCUCUUAAUCAGCUUUCCUGUCUCCAGUCUCACUCCCUCCAAUCAGUUCUGCUCACUGCUAUCUAAAAUGCAAAUCCAAUUCCUGGCGCUCAGGCCUCUGCUUCAACCAUCUCAUUGCUCCCCAUCACCCACGACAGCAUUUCCCUAGUGUGCUGUGUUCAGUGUUAAUAGAUGUUCCUUUAAGAAAUGUCUCACGAUCAAGUAAGAAUGGGAGAUGCUGGGGUGUACACAUUUUGCCUUCCUUCUCCUUUCCCCUCCGUUGAGCUGAUAAUAGCAGAAGAGUCUUUAUAUACAGUUGCUUAGUGUGGGUGAAACUAGAUAAAUCCAUCACAGGCCCUCCCUUAGAAUAUGGAAUUGGGACUAAGAGACCCCAACCUCGAAAGUCUCUUGGACCUGGGAUCCCUUGGGCAGACUGGUUCCAUCCUGUAAGACAGGGAACCUGUAGAGAAAGAGUGGAGUUGAGAGAGAAAAGGAGAGUGCUGACAAUGUCUCUCUUUCACAUGUUUCUGUGCCUGGCUGGCUGCCUCUACCCUUGGAGUCUGAGCCGCAUUCCUGGAUCCUUAUGGUAAAUUCUGCUUCUUUGCUUAAGCUAGAUAAAGUGAAUUUCUGUUACAACCAAGAGUCCUACUAAAAGCCACGUGUAAGCUAUAGUUAUUUGUUUGGUACUAACAACAUGCAAGCACCAAAGCACUUUCCAUACAUUGUCUCAUUUAAUGUUCCAGAUAUCCCCAUGAACAAGGCCAGCUUCAGCACAGGCACGUGACCUGUGCAGUUGAACAAGGCCUGGGGGGUGCCUAAAAAGAUUCUACGAUUGGUUUAAUGCUCUGAUGUCACCAUCUAGAAAGUCUUAGUGGUUUUUGACAAAAGGGCCCCUCAUUUUCAUUUUGAACUGAGCUCCACAAAUUACCUAUGAGGUAUUAUCUCUAUGUGACAAAAGGUUUAUUUUCUGCCAGACUUAUUAGUGCCUUUAAAAUCAAAAUAUGCAUUGUAAAUAUCCAAGUGAGGGACAUAAUAUGCAAUGUGUCCCAACCAAAUUUGACCCUAGAAGACGUUUCUUCGUGGAGAAUCUCUUACAGGUUUGGUGCUCUGCAAGACGCAGAUUAAAGCCCCACCCUUUAGUGAUCUGCCUAUGUCCCUAUCUCCUCUGGAGCUCAUGAUUCCCUAUGCACAGUGAGCAGUUUCUUGCUUCUGUGCCUUCACAUAUGCUUUGCAAUCUGCCAUGCUCAUUAAGCACUUCUGAUUAUAAUUGGCUUCUCUUUAGAUUUACCUACAAGGAAAGAAUAUACUCCUCAAGCUAAUGUAAAUAUCUCGUGUGCUUGGUAGUUGAGGUGGACAUUGUAAUUGACACCCCAACAGCCAUUCUCGUCACCUGGGAGCUUGUUAGAAAUGCAGAAUCUUGGCCCCAUGCCAGAUCAGCUUAAUCAGAAUCUGCAUUUUAACAAGAUUCCCGGGCAAUUCCUAUGCACAAUAAAGUUUGAGAAACAUUAGUAAGCCAAUCACAAUAAUUCCACUCCGCUUGCUAGAAACUGGUUCUGUAAUGGGCGUGCCUUAUCCAUUUUGAGCCAGUGAGACACAAAGAGGUGCUAACUCAGAGCUUCUGGAGGAAGAAAAGCCAGUCCAGUCUCUCUCCCCUGAGUGUAAACAAGAAAACAUGUUGCCACAGUUCCCGCUGACAGGCAUCUUAUGACCACAAGGGAAAUCAGACUGCCAGUAGCCUAUCCAGUGUUCUCUCUCCCCUUCUACCUUAACAACUGGUCCUGGUGUGUAUGCCCGUAUGGACUGGAGGAGGCACAGAAUGGAGUGUCUUGAAUUUCCAGCAACAAGCAUUGCGUUUGGGAAUGUGUCUCGUUGGCCUGUUGAGUCCAGUGGUUCUCAACCAGAGUUGCACAUCAGAAUCACCUGGGGAACAUUUAAAAUAUAUUAAUUCCCAAGCCCUACCACCAGAGAUUUGGAUUUAAUGGGUCUUAGCUGAAGCGUGGACAUGGGUACUUUUUAAAAGCUCCUUACAGCCGGGCAUGGUGGCUCACGCCUGUAAUCCCAGCACUUUGGGAGGCUGAGGUGGGCGGGUCACCUAAGGUCAGGGGUUCGAGACCAGCC
rnacentral:lncRNA from 10 species